UCUUCUCUCCAUAAAAACCCACAACACCCUCUGGAAAGUGUAUCCGUAGCAAAAGUGUAACAAUUUGAACUCGUGCCUGUUUCCAUUCAUUCAUCUUCAUUCAGUGCUCUGUUGCACUCGACUGCUGAUGCUGCUUUUGCAUUUGAUUUGUCUAGUGGCUGAUGUUUUGUCAUCUGUCAGAUGCAUCGCUGACGUCACCGAAACAUUAAUAUUCAUAAUGCUCGCAGCACAAGUCGGAACGAAUUUAACAGAAAGUCUAUCAGCCCGGGAGGAGGGAGGCCCAGAGGCCGGCUGGCUUAUCAAUCAUGUGACGAGGCAUGAAUGAAUUUUUCGUCUACCUUUCCAUCAUCGAAAAGUUAAGUAUUCAAACACUGACAAAUCGCCCGAGGGGAGGCCUGAUAUUUGAGUCUAAAGAUAUAGUUUAUAAGACUAUCAACUUUGGCAUAGAUCGGUUAAGAGAACUUUCACUGUACAAUUUUAUGCCUGGUCGCAUUGCAAUUUCUCGCGUCUGUGUGUAUAUAGAGAACGCUGUCUAUAUAGGUGGCAAACAAAAAUUCAACGUUUUUAUGCGUUUUCUUUACUGUUGCUAUUGUUGUAAAUAUUGCACAUAUUUUUCGAAUUUGUAGAUUAAAAGUGGGAGAAAGAUAGAAAUUUCACUAUACAUUCGGAGAACGAGAGACAGACACACACACACGUUGAGAGAGCGGGGAAUGUCUUGCCACAGUUUGCACUUGAAAUAGUUUUGUGUAUACCUGUCUCUUUCGCUCACGAGUUCUCUAUGUGUUGUUUGCUCUCUUUCCACGCUUCAGAUCAUAAAAACUGCUGUUGCUUUAGUUAAUUGUUGCAGCGCCACCAAUUAUCAUUUGGUGCUUAUCAAAACGCAUAUAAAACUAGCAACAAUUUCGACAGGGCAACAUUAAGCGUGGAAUUGUGCAAUAAAUGUGGCAUGGAACGGUCUGGAGAGGUCUCACCCUGUCCGUAAUAAAUCUUCCAGCUUAAACCCCUACAAGGUGCCAACAAACGAGAGCGAAACCGCAAAAAGGUAAGCCGAACCCUCCCCCUUAAGGAAACCACAAAACGUUGCAAUCAACUGGCACUCCAGGGGGGGGGGCAAAUAUGGGCUGGUCCCCACUACCACAAAGAGACAGAGAGAGGCCCUAUAAUGAAUGCAAUUAUGCAAAUUUCCACGCUCUGCAGCCAUAGAAGAGCGAAAAGAGAACCAAA
rnacentral:tRNA from 15 species